rnacentral:rRNA from 1 species
UACGUAGGUGGCAAGCGUUGUCCGGAUUUACUGGGCGUAAAGGGCGCGUAGGCGGCCUGUUAAGUCGAACGUGAAAUCCCCGGGCUCAACCCGGGAACUGCGUCCGAUACUGGCAGGCUUGAAUUCGGGAGAGGGAUGCGGAAUUCCAGGUGUAGCGGUGAAAUGCGUAGAUAUCUGGAGGAACACCGGUGGCGAAGGCGGCAUCCUGGACCGGCAUUGACGCUGAGGCGCGAAAGCCAGGGGAGCAAACGGG